rnacentral:rRNA from 1 species
UACGUAGGGCGCAAGCGUUAUCCGGAAUUAUUGGGCGUAAAGAGCUCGUAGGCGGUUUGUCGCGUCUGCCGUGAAAGUCCGGGGCUCAACUCCGGAUCUGCGGUGGGUACGGGCAGACUAGAGUGAUGUAGGGGAGACUGGAAUUCCUGGUGAGCGGUGAAAUGCGCAGAUAUCAGGAGGAACACCGAUGGCGAAGGCAGGUCUCUGGGCAUUAACUGACGCUGAGGAGCGAAAGCAUGGGGAGCGAACAGG